rnacentral:misc_RNA from 1 species
UCCGGUUUAGACCGGCGGUCACCAACAUGUCAAGCCCAGGUAAGGUUCUUCGCGUUGCGUCGAAUUAAACCACAUGCUCCGCUGCUUGUGCGGGCCCCCGUCAAUUCCUUUGAGUUUUAGCCUUGCGGCCGUACUCCCCAGGCGGGGCACUUAGUGCGUUAGCGACGGCACGGGAGGAGUCGACACCUCCCACACCUAGUGCCCAUCGUUUACGGCGUGGACUAC